rnacentral:tRNA from 1 species
GUCAAGUUAGUUUAAAAUAAAACAUCAGCCUGUGGAUUUGAAAAUGAAAUUAUAAUCUCACUUGACC